rnacentral:lncRNA from 10 species
AUAUGACAGCUGAGGAAAUGGAGGAACUAGAGGUCAGUAAUUAGCCCAGGGACACAUCUCAGUUGCACAGGCAGUAUUUGAACACAGCAUUCCAGCCAUGGUGAUGAUGUUUUUAACAGCUGCAUUAUAUUUCCAUUUCAUGGUCAAAUACCUUCAUUGAAUAAUUUAAAAUUUCAUUUAAUUAAGUAGGUCUGGCAUUAUUCAGAUCCAAAUUUAAACCAGUUCAGCAAGCCAUCUCAAAAUACAGUAAUUGGGUAUUAAGAAAUUAUCUAGGCAUUCUCUAAAUUUAUUUACAUAUUCAACGAGCAUUGAAAAUUAUGUAUCAGAUAUUCUGCCCAAUCAGAGGCUAACAUCUGCCACAAGACAAAUAUGGUGCCUGCCCCCAUGGAGCUCAUAUUCGAAUGGAGAAAAUGUCAACAAGUAUCCCACGGAGUGAACACUUCAAAAGGAGAAGCACAGGUGAGAAAAUCGAAUUUGGACACCGUUGAGGAGACUAUUGCAGUCAUCCAAGCUCAAGAUGGUGGAGCUUCAUCCUUGAGAAUAACCAAUGGGGAUAGAUUUAAGAGACACUUAGAGUCUGCAGCCAACAGGGCUGAAUGAGCAGAGAGUUAUGAUUCAGAAGAUCAUCUAAAAUUGAACAGCUGCCACUACUGGCAAUAAGUCUACUGCCAUUUGGUAGAUAACCUUCUUAUCACACAGAAAAAUAUCAGUACAGACAAAUAGACCGCAAAGAAAAUGAGACCAUCAGCAAAGAAGAUAAAGAAGUUUGUACAAAGCAACUUUUUAUAAAUGGAUGGCUGUCAGGCAAAAAUAAAUUUCCUGUGGACAAGACCAAGAGCAAGGCAAGAGGAAAAUAAACAUGUU